UACGUAGGGGGCAAGCGUUGUCCGGAAUUAUUGGGCGUAAAGAGCGUGUAGGCGGCCAGAUAAGUCCGCUGUGAAAUCUCGAGGCUCAACUUCGAGCUGUCGGUGGAAACUAUCUGGCUAGAGUCCGGAAGAGGAGAGUGGAAUUCCUGGUGUAGCGGUGAAAUGCGCAGAUAUCAGGAAGAACACCAAUGGCGAAAGCAGCUCUCUGGGACGGUACUGACGCUGAGACGCGAAAGCGUGGGGAGCGAACAGG
rnacentral:rRNA from 1 species